ACCAACCCCAGUCCCCAUAUACCAGGGUUUUGGUCCGACGACCAAUAUGUAACUGUGCAGCCUAUUCUACAGUCGAUCUAGCGCCUGGACCCACCAGGUCUUAAUCUAAAGUACUGACGUGGCGAUAUCAGAGGCGUUAGCAAAAUACCGCACUGUUUCCGAACUCCGACGUAUCGGCGUACUUGAACCCUCGCCGUUCAAAUUUUCUCGCGAACCAAACAGCCACUUUCCUUCUUCUCCAUCACCAUAUUACCUCUCUCUCUCUCUCCAAAGGCCCAAAGAUGAAUCCGUUUGAUCAAACCCCAGACCAGUUCUCUUCUUUCCCUCCUCUCCAGUUCAUUCCAUAUCCACCUCCACUAAACCCUAACUCUAAUCCUAAUCCGAAUGCUAAUUCGAGUCCCUAUAAUCCAACCCAAAUCCCAAUCCAAGACCCUAAUUCUACCUCACCAAGCCAUCUUCUCUCAUUCACAGUUCCCAAGAAGCGAAGGCGAGGCCGGCCUCAACGGAAAGCAACGUCGUUUCACCUUCCUCUCAUCCCUAACGUCACUCUCAACGGUAAUAAUGGUCUUUUCCCUUCGUCUUCCUCUACUUCUAAUUCAGUUUCAGCUCCUUUGUUCAGACCCAAUGUAGAAAACCCUAAUUCGUCAACUCAAACUGUAGCCGAUACCUCUGAUGAGAUCAUCGUGAUAAAUAAAGAAUCCACGGCCGAGGCCUUGAUUGCUCUCUCGGCUGGGUUUCCUGCCGAUUCACUCACUGAGGAGGAAAUCGAUGCCGGGGUUGUCCCUUUAAUCGGAGGGAUCGAGCAAGUCAAUUACAUUCUUAUCCGGAACCACAUUAUCGCAAAAUGGCGUGAGAAUGUGUCAAAUUGGGUCACUAAAGAGAUGUUUAUUGAUGCUAUACCUAAACAUUGUCAUACUCUUUUGGACUCUACUUAUAAUUAUUUAGUUUCACAUGGGUAUAUCAAUUUUGGGGUUGCACCAGCGAUCAAGGAAAAGAUCCCGGCUGAACUUAUUAAGUCGAAUGUGAUUGUGAUUGGUGCCGGGCUUGCGGGGCUGGCUGCUGCACGGCAAUUGAUGAGAUUUGGGUUCAAGGUGACUGUUUUAGAGGGUAGGAAGCGAGCAGGUGGGCGAGUUUAUACAAAGAAAAUGGAGGGAGGGAAUAGGCUGUGUGCAGCGGCAGAUUUAGGGGGUAGUGUUUUGACAGGUACUUUAGGGAAUCCACUUGGGAUUGUUGCUCGACAGUUGGGUUAUCCGCUUCAUAAGGUGAGAGAUAAGUGCCCACUAUAUAGUUUGGAUGGAAAGCCAGUUGACCCUGAUAUGGAUAUGAAGGUGGAAACUGCUUUUAACCGUCUUUUGGACAAAGCAAGUAGACUUAGGCAGUUAAUGGGGGAGGUCUCAGUAGAUGUAUCUCUUGGUGCAGCAUUGGAAACAUUCCGGCAGGUUUAUGGGGAUGCCGUGAAUGCUGAGGAGAUGAACUUGUUUAACUGGCAUCUUGCAAAUUUGGAAUAUGCAAAUGCCGGUUUGCUUUCAAAGCUUUCCCUUGCAUUUUGGGACCAAGAUGACCCUUAUGAUAUGGGAGGGGACCAUUGCUUCUUGCCUGGAGGGAAUGGAAGGCUGGUUCAUGCUUUGGCUGAGAAUGUGCCAAUUUUAUAUGAGAAAACUGUACACACCAUUAGGUAUGGUAGUGAUGGUGUGCAGGUCAUUGCAGGGAGUCAGGUUUUUGAGGGUGACAUGGCCCUAUGCACAGUUCCGCUUGGGGUUUUAAAGAGUGGGUCCAUAAAAUUUAUUCCAGAGUUGCCUCAGAGAAAGCUUGAUGGGAUAAAGAGGCUGGGGUUUGGGUUGUUGAAUAAGGUUGCAAUGCUAUUUCCUCACGUAUUUUGGGGCACUGAUCUUGAUACCUUUGGGCAUCUUUCUGAUGAUCCAAGCCGUCGAGGGGAGUUCUUUCUCUUUUAUAGCUAUGCAACAGUUGCUGGUGGUCCUCUCUUGAUUGCUCUGGUAGCAGGAGAAGCGGCUCACAAGUUUGAGAGCAUGCCCCCCACAGAUGCAGUGACCCGUGUUCUUCAAAUUCUCAAGGGUAUCUUUGAACCGCAAGGAAUCAUUGUUCCGGAGCCUAUCCAAACAGUUUGUACCAGAUGGGGUGGUGAUCCCUUCAGUCUAGGUUCUUACUCUAAUGUUGCAGUUGGCGCAUCAGGAGAUGAUUAUGAUAUUUUGGCAGAAAGUGUGGGAGAUGGAAGGCUUUUCUUUGCAGGGGAGGCCACCACUAGGCGAUACCCAGCAACUAUGCACGGAGCUUUUGUCAGUGGGUUAAGAGAAUCUUCAAAUAUGGCUCAUUAUGCUAAUGCUCGGACCUUGAGAAAAAAGAUUGACAGGAGUCCAUCGAAGAAUGCCCAUUCUUGUGCUUCCCUUCUUGCAGAUUUAUUUAGGGAGCCUGAUCUAGAAUUUGGGAGCUUUUCUGUUAUUUUUGCUCAGAAGAAUGCUGAUCCCAGGUCAGCAGCAAUUUUGAGAGUGACAUUUAGUGAACCUCGAAAGAAGAGUCAUGAAGGUUCAAAACCAGAUCAACAGCAUUCAAAUAAGUUACUUUUUCAGCAGCUUCAGUCACAUUUUAAUCAUCAGCAACAGCUUCAUGUUUACACUUUGUUAUCAAGACAACAGGCACUUGAGCUGAGAGAGGUGAGAGGAGGUGAUGAAAUGAGAUUGAAUCACCUCUGUGAAAAGUUGGGGGUGAAGCUGGUGGGAAGAAAAGGUCUCGGGUCUACUGCUGAUUCUGUGAUUGCUUCCAUCAAGGCUGAGAGGGGCAACCGCAAACCUGCUCCAACUACUUUGGCGCUCAAAUCAGGGGCAUCAAAGCUGAACACGGGCAUUUUGAAGCGAAAAAUGGUGAGAAAGGCUAAAAUAGUGCGUAGCAGCAAUGGGCCAGCAGCGCCUACUAAUUCAAAUGUGGUAAAUAGUAAAGUGUCGGAGGAAACUAGGGCGUCAGAGGAAAUCAGGCCUGCAGAUCAAAUGCUUCUUGACACGCUUGGUUCAGGUAAUAUAUAGAGGGGCAAAAUCAAGGUGACAUGUUGAAACAAUGAGUAGACAGACUUGAGAGAAGGAUUUGCUCUUCACCUCCGAAUCUAUCAACAAGGGCCAAUUUGCAAUCUGUGACCAAGUCUGUUCCCGGCCUCAUAAUUGCUAUUUUUACUCACGACCUUUGGCCGGAUCACUACCAGUGCCUUCAUCAGCUUGUUGAAGAUGACUAUGCUACUUGCAGGAGGACCACUCUGCUGUUUGUCUUCUCUGCUGGUAAGGUGAUAAAUGCAAUGUCAAAGUGAACAUUGAGCAAGGGUCAGGCUUCUCGGUUGUUUGGCUUCAUGUUGCCCAGAGUCUGCAAGGCAUCUUCUCAAGAUGCCUGUGAAUUGAUUGGAGCUUGUGAUCAAGACCUCAGUGGUUGUGAUCAAGCCGCUGGUGAAUCUCUUGAGAGCAAUGUUGGCCCAGAAAUGCCAUUCAGAUGAGACAAGUUUGCUGCCGAGCUGAUUGUAGGAUGGAUGGAUGAGGACGGCUGAUGGCUGAGCCUUCACUUUUGACAAGUGGAGUCAUGGUCGGAUUUAUGUUGGUGCAACUGCCUCUACUUGAGAAGUAUCAAAUAUGUAAACUAUGGUCUUGUGGCUAAUUCUCAUAUUUUGUGUGAAUGGCAAAUCAAACCUUAUUUCCAUUUGUCAACAAUAUUCUCAGCUUACAAAAAAAAAAAAUGAUAUUUAAGAUUAUGGUGGGAUGAAUUAUGUUU